GCCAGCAGCCAUAUCACCCUGCAACUCACAACUAGCAACCCACUGAAGCUAAGCAGGUGUGAGCCUGGUCAGUACCUGGGUGGGAGACCUCCUGGGAAAAACUAAGGUUGCUGCUUGAA
rnacentral:rRNA from 1 species